rnacentral:rRNA from 1 species
UACGUAGGGCGCAAGCGUCGUCCGGAAUUAUUGGGCGUAAAGAGCUCGUAGGCGGCUUGUCACGUCGGAUGUGAAAGCCCGGGGCUUAACCCCGGGUCUGCAUUCGAUACGGGCAGGCUAGAGUUCGGUAGGGGAGAUCGGAAUUCCUGGUGUAGCAGUGAAAUGCGCAGAUAUCAGGAGGAACACCGGUGGCGAGGGCGGAUCUCUGGGCCGAUACUGACGCCGAGGAGCGGAAGCAUGGGGAGCGAACAGG